UAAGAAAUGGCGGAGGGAGGGGGCGAAAAGUUCUAAAUUUUUUGAAAGGAUUAAAUUAAUAUUGUUUCUUUUUCCCCAAAACCCCAAAUCAAUCUCUCUCCUAAUUAUUUUGCUGGGUGUGUUUCAAUCGGUAAGAAUCCUACCGAAACUCCUUUUCCCCAAAACCCCAAUUCAAUCUCCUCUCCUUACUUUGCUGGGAUCGGCUUAAGAAUCCUACCAAACCAAAUCGAUCUCGGUGUUUUCCAAGUCUUAAUCAUCUGGAUGUGUUUCAAUCGGCUAAGAAUCCUUUCGAAUCGAAAUCGAUCUCGGCAAAGAAUCCUACCGAAAUCAAGAGGAUAUACUGAUAACAGAGCACCAGAGCACCUCAACGACGACCACACAGGAGUUUCCGACAAGACAAUGAAGACAAUUUCUCUCACGUACAUGAUUCUACAAGGCAAACUCUCUAAUGCUUCAAUUUGAGGUUCAAGAGUCGAUAUUCCACCAAGCAAACUCUCUAAUCCUCAACUCUCCCAAGAAUCUUUUCCAGGGCUGAACACUGCAUACGUCUUCCCUACUACCUCGUGAUUCCACCAUUG